rnacentral:rRNA from 1 species
GAUGAACGCUGGCGGCGUGCCUAAUACAUGCAAGUCGAGCGAACGGACGAGAAGCUUGCUUCUCUGAUGUUAGCGGCGGACGGGUGAGUAACACGUGGAUAACCUACCUAUAAGACUGGGAUAACUUCGGGAAACCGGAGCUAAUACCGGAUGAUAUUUUGAACCGCAUGGUUCAAAAGUGAAAGAAGGUCUUGCUGUCACUUAUAGAUGGAUCCGCGCUGCAUUAGCUAGUUGGUAAGGUAACGGCUUACCAAGGCAACGAUGCAUAGCCGACCUGAGAGGGGGAUGGGCCACAGUGGGUCUGAGACACGGUACACACGCCUGGGGGAGGCGGGAGUGGGGAUUCUUCCGGAAUGGGCGAAAGCCUGACGGGGCAGCGCCGCGUGAGUGAUGAAGGCCUUCGGAUCGUAAAACGCUGUUAUUAGGGAAGAACAUAUGUGUAGGUAUCUGUGCGCAGAGGGAGGGUACCUAAUCAGAAAGCCACGGCUAACUACGUG